rnacentral:tRNA from 1 species
GGGGGUGUGGCGGAAUGGUAGACGCUGCGGACUUAAGAAAUUGAGCCUUGUUGGAGAAACCUGACAAGUGGAUGCUCUCAAAUUCAGGGAAACCUAAGUCUUUUAAAGAGAUAAGGCAAUCCUGAGCCAAGCCGAAACAAAUUGAGCACAAAGUUAGCUUUGCAUUCAAAACUGUUCGGAAGGUGCAGAGACUCGACGGGAGCUACCCUAACGUAAAGCCGAGGGUAAAGAGAGAGUCCAAUUCUUAAAGCCUCAAGUGUAAAGGUAGCAGCGAAAGCUGUAAAAGGAUGAAAAUCCGUUGACCUUAAAAGUCGUGAGGGUUCAAGUCCCUCCACCCCCA